UACGUAGGGUGCAAGCGUUAAUUGGAAUUACUGGGCGUAAAGCGUGCGCAGGCGGUUUUGUAAGUCUGACGUGAAAUCCCCGGGCUCAACCUGGGAAUUGCGUUGGAGACUGCAAGGCUAGAAUCUGGCAGAGGGGGGUAGAAUUCCACGUGUAGCAGUGAAAUGCGUAGAGAUGUGGAGGAACACCGAUGGCGAAGGCAGCCCCCUGGGUCAAGAUUGACGCUCAUGCACGAAAGCGUGGGGAGCAAACAGGAUU
rnacentral:rRNA from 1 species